AAGAUAUUAGUAAAACAAUUACAUGACUUUGUCAAGUUACUUAUAGGUGAACCCCUAUAUAUCUUC
rnacentral:tRNA from 1 species